UGCAAAGAGGUUCUGCCGAUAUUGAGUG
rnacentral:sRNA from 1 species